rnacentral:rRNA from 1 species
CCUACGGGAGGCAGCAGUAAGGAAUAUUGGUCAAUGGACGAAAGUCUGAACCAGCCAUGCCGCGUGAAGGAUUAAGGCCCUCUGGGUUGUAAACUUCUUUUAUCUGGGACGAAAAAAGGGUAUUCUUACUCACUUGACGGUACCAGAGGAAUAAGCACCGGCUAACUCCGUGCCAGCAGCCGCGGUAAUACGGAGGGUGCAAGCGUUAUCCGGAUUUACUGGGUUUAAAGGGUGCGUAGGUGGGUCUGUAAGUCAGUGGUGAAAUCUCCGAGCUUAACUCGGAAACUGCCAUUGAUACUAUAGAUCUUGAAUUAUCUGGAGGUAAGCGGAAUAUGUCAUGUAGCGGUGAAAUGCUUAGAUAUGACAUAGAACACCAAUUGCGAAGGCAGCUUACUACGGAUAUAUUGACACUGAGGCACGAAAGCGUGGGGAUCAAACAGGAUUAGAUACCCUGGUAGUCCACGCCCUAAACGAUGGAUACUCGACAUCAGCGAUACACUGUUGGUGUNUGAGNGAAGANAUAAGUAUCCACCNCGGAGUACGUAAGUCGCGAGAGUAGUUAAACGUUAACAAUUAGAGUUAGACGGCGUUGAGACGUUAGCCGACGGACGACGACGAGGGAGGAGGAG